CCUACGGGUGGCAGCAGUGGGGAAUAUUGGGCAAUGGCCGCAAGGCUGACCCAGCCAAGCCGCGUGAGGGAAGAAGGCUCUCCGGUUUUAAAAUUCUUUUUGUCAGGACGCCACGAAUGACAGUUCUCAAUGAAUAAGCGUCGUCUAACUACAGGCCAGCAGCCGCGGUGCUCCGUCGGUGUCAGGCGUUAUGCGGAUUUAAUGGGUGUACAGGGCGUGUAGGCGGGAGUGCAACGCAGAGGUAAAACCGAUGGGCUCAAACCAUGUCCUGCCUUUGAAACUGUAGUUCUUGAGUGAUGGAGAGGUAGGCGGAAUUCCGGGUGUAGCGGUGAAAUGCGUAGAUAUCAGGAGGAACACCAGUUGCGAAGGCGGCAUGCUGGAGAGUAACUGACGCUGAUGCGCGAAAGCGUGGGGAGCAAACAGGAUUAGAUACCCGAGUAGUC
rnacentral:rRNA from 1 species